AUUGAACGCUGGCGGCAUGCCUUACACAUGCAAGUCGAACGGCAGCACGGGAGCAAUCCUGGUGGCGAGUGGCGAACGGGUGAGUAAUACAUCGGAACGUGCCCUGUAGUGGGGGAUAACCCGGCGAAAGCCGGACUAAUACCGCAUGAGACCUGAGGGUGAAAGCGGGGGAUCGAAAGACCUUGCGCUAUGGGAGCGGCCGAUGUCAGAUUAGCUAGUUGGGGGGUAAAGGCCUACCAAGGCGACGAUCUGUAGCUGGUCUGAGAGGACGACCAGCCACACUGGGACUGAGACACGGCCCAGACUCCUACGGGAGGCAGCAGUGGGGAAUUUUGGACAAUGGGCGCAAGCCUGAUCCAGCCAUGCCGCGU
rnacentral:rRNA from 1 species